UGGGGAAUAUUGGACAAUGGGCGAAAGCCUGAUCCAGCCAUGCCGCGUGUGUGAAGAAGGUCUUCGGAUUGUAAAGCACUUUAAGUUGGGAGGAAGGGCAGUAAGCGAAUACCUUGCUGUUUUGACGUUACCGACACCCCCCCCCCCCCCCCCCCCCCCCCCAGCCGCCGCGGUAAUACAGAGGGUGCAAGCGUUAAUCGGAAUUACUGGGCGUAAAGCGCGCGUAGGUGGUUCGUUAAGUUGAAUGUGAAAGCCCCGGGCUCAACCUGGGAAUUGCAUUCGAUACUGGUUAGCUAGAGUGUGGGAGAGGAUGGUAGAAUUCCAGGUGUAGCGGUGAAAUGCGUAGAGAUCUGGAGGAAUACCGAUGGCGAAGGCAGCCAUCUGGCCUAACACUGACGCUGAGGUACGAAAGCAUGGGGAGCAAACAGG
rnacentral:rRNA from 1 species